rnacentral:lncRNA from 1 species
UACACCCUUAUCUUUACUGCUUUCAUUUUGUUUUGUUUAGUUAGUUGUGUUAUUUGGUUAAUUUCUGUGAGUUUGUGUUAUUUAGUUUAAGUGUGGGGGAAGGUUAAACAAAGUCUUUUUACAUUAAUUUACAUAUUUAAAAAAAAAAAAAACAUAAAAGUAAAAAUAUUUUACAAUGAUGUGUAAACUAAUAGCAUUCAUUGGUCAGGUGGUACUUCAGUAGUCGGCGGAGCUUCAGCAGUCGGCGGGG